GAUGAACGCUGGCGGCGUGCUUAACACAUGCAAGUCGAACGAUGAAGCCCAGCUUGCUGGGUGGAUUAGUGGCGAACGGGUGAGUAACACGUGAGUAACCUGCCCUUAACUCUGGGAUAAGCCUGGGAAACUGGGUCUAAUACCGGAUAGGAGCGUCCACCGCAUGGUGGGUGUUGGAAAGAUUUAUCGGUUUUGGAUGGACUCGCGGCCUAUCAGCUUGUUGGUGAGGUAAUGGCUCACCAAGGCGACGACGGGUAGCCGGCCUGAGAGGGUGACCGGCCACACUGGGACUGAGACACGGCCCAGACUCCUACGGGAGGCAGCAGUGGGGAAUAUUGCACAAUGGGCGCAAGCCUGAUGCAGCGACGCCGCGUGAGGGAUGACGGCCUUCGGGUUGUAAACCUCUUUCAGUAGGGAAGAAGCGAAAGUGACGGUACCUACAGAAGAAGCACCGGCUAACUACGUG
rnacentral:rRNA from 1 species